rnacentral:rRNA from 1 species
GCAAGUCGAGGGGCAGCAUGGGACUUCGGUCCUGAUGGCGACCGGCGCACGGGUGAGUAACGCGUACGCAAUCUACCUCCAAGAGUGGAAUAGCCCUGGGAAACUGGGAUUAAUACCGCAUAGCAUCAUAAUGCCGCCUGGUAUAAUGAUUAAAGCUUCGGUGCUUGGAGAUGAGCGUGCGUCCUAUUAGCUAGUUGGUGAGGUAACGGCUCACCAAGGCGACGAUAGGUAGGGGGCGUGGAGCGGUGGUC